rnacentral:rRNA from 1 species
AGUCACUGACAUUAGAUACCCCCUGUAGUCCAGGGUGUAAACGCUGCAGACUUGGUGUUGGAAGCCCUUUGGGGGCAUUCAGUGCCGGAGAGAAGUUGUUAAGUCUGCUACUUGGGGAGUACGUCCGCAAGGAUGAAACUUAAAGGAAUUGGCGGGGGAGCACCGCAACGGGAGGAGCGUGCGGUUUAAUUGGAUUCAACACCGUAAAACUCACCAGGGAAGACUGUUACAUGGAGGCCGAGAUGAAGACUCUGCUAGAUUUUCAG